AAAUGCGAUAACUAGUGUGAAUUGCAGAAUUCCGUGAAUCAUCGAGUCUUUGAACGCACAUUGCGCCCCCUGGUAUUCCGGGGGGCAUGCCUGUCCGAGCGUCAUUGCUGCCCAUCAAGCACGGCUUGUGUGUUGGGUCGUCGUCCCCUCUCCGGGGGGACGGGCCCCAAAGGCAGCGGCGGCACCGCGUCCGAUCCUCGAGCGUAUGGGGCUUUGUCACCCGCUCUGUAGGCCCGGCCGGCGCUUGCCGAACGCAAAUCAAUCUUUUUCCAGGUUGACCUCGGAUCAGGUAGGGAUACCCGCUGAACUUAAGC
rnacentral:misc_RNA from 1 species